UACGAAGGGGGCUAGCGUUGCUCGGAAUCACUGGGCGUAAAGGGUGCGUAGGCGGCGCGGUAAGUCGGGUGUGAAAUCUUGGAGCUUAACUCCGAAACUGCAUUCGAUACUGCCGUGCUUGAGGACUGGAGAGGAGACUGGAAUUUACGGUGUAGCGGUGAAAUGCGUAGAUAUCGUAAGGAAGACCAGUGGUGAAGGCGGGUCUCUGGACAGUUCCUGACGCUGAGGCACGAAGGUCAGGGGAGCAAACGGG
rnacentral:rRNA from 1 species